ACGCAGGCGUGCCUGCGCAGUGCGCGGAGGAGUGCUGUUCGUGUGUUCGAGUCCCUGGGUUGCUUCCUGGGGUCUGUGGUGCUGGGUGUGCUAUCUGCGUGUGAUUCUCUAGCGAGAGAUUGUGGGCGAGUGACCGAGUGGGCAAGGGGCCGUCACUGUGUGUGCGUGAUUUUGACAGUGUGUGGUGGUAGCUUCUGACUCCGCGUGGGUCGUUGAAUGUAUGACUGGGACCGUUUAGCGGUGGAUACACAACUGUGUGCGGCUGUGGAAGAUUGCCUCAUCCGUUACGUUCCCAUUUCCGUGGAACAACAGUUUUACCAGAAGGUUUCGAAGGAACCUUAAAGUUUGGAAGCGCGGCUUUGGUGUCAUCAAAUGUGAGAAGCCCUGGACUUUACACAUCCCGAGCCAGUGUGAUCCAGUAUGAUUGGGAGUCCGAGUGCCAGAUGCCGGUCAGGACCUGUUAUGCUGGGUCUCAGAAUGCGGAAACUCUCCCUGUCCGAGGUGGAACAGUUUGUCCUUGAGUGAGGACUGGAGUCCUGAGUGACUCUUUUGAUUUGAUCCUGUUUCCCUCAAACCUGAGAUGGGAGCCUCACUGUAUUGCCCAGGCUGGUCUUGAACUCCGGAGCUCAAGUGAUCGUCUUGCUUCAGCCUUGCAAAAUGAUGGUGAAGCUGCAUCAUUGUCUGGGAUGGAGUCCCUGUCUGACCGGGCCAUGUUGUAUGUUCCUUGCUGUACACGUGGUUGACAAAGAAAAGGGAAGAUGGAGCUGCGAUGUUGGACAUGCCUGGCCCCCAGGACAUACAGCCCUGCCGAGCAAAUAAUGAACGUAACUCACAAACUUCCUGCUUAUCAUCAAACGCACGCAUCCACUUAUCAUCAAACACCUCGGGUGACAGAAGAAUGCAGGUCAGCUCCCUGCUGCCUUGGCAUUAUCAAUCAGCCCAGGAACCAUCCUAUAAAAUCUCCAGCAAGCCUUUGUUUCCUUGCAGUCAGCUCCUCUUCCACUGAUUCUGCCUGUUGCUCCCUGAUAACAUACUUUGAUACUGUCUUUAAUAAAUCUGCCUUUCUUCACCCAC
rnacentral:lncRNA from 1 species